rnacentral:rRNA from 1 species
GAUGAACGCUGGCGGCGUGCCUAAUACAUGCAAGUCGAGCGAACAGAUAAGGAGCUUGCUCCUUUGACGUUAGCGGCGGACGGGUGAGUAACACGUGGGUAACCUACCUAUAAGACUGGAAUAACUCCGGGAAACCGGGGCUAAUGCCGGAUAAUAUUUAGAACCGCAUGGUUCUAAAGUGAAAGAGGGUUUUGCUAUCACUUAUAGAUGGACCCGCGCCGCAUUAGCUAGUUGGUAAGGUAACGGCUUACCAAGGCAACGAUACGUAGCCGACCUGAGAGGGUGAUCGGCCACACUGGAACUGAGACACGGUCCAGACUCCUACGGGAGGCAGCAGUAGGGAAUCUUCCGCAAUGGGCGAAAGCCUGACGGAGCAACGCCGCGUGAGUGAUGAAGGUCUUCGGAUCGUAAAACUCUGUUAUUAGGGAAGAACAAAUGUGUAAGUAACUGUGCACGUCUUGACGGUACCUAAUCAGAAAGCCACGGCUAACUACGUG